rnacentral:rRNA from 1 species
GACGAACGCUGGCGGCGUGCUUAACACAUGCAAGUCGAACGGAAAGGCCCUGCUUUUGUGGGGUGCUCGAGUGGCGAACGGGUGAGUAACACGUGAGUAACCUGCCCUUGACUUUGGGAUAACUUCAUGAAACUGGGGCUAAUACCGGAUAGGAGCUCCUGCUGCAUGGGGGGGGUUGGAGAGUUUCGGCGGUUGGGGAUGGACUCGAGGCUUAUCAGCUUGUUGGUGGGGUAGUGGCUUACCAAGGCUUUGACGGGUAGCCGGCCUGAGAGGGUGACCGGCCACAUUGGGACUGAGAUAGGGGCCAGAGUCCUACGGGAGGAAGCAGUGGGAAAUAUUGCACAAUGGGCGGAAGCAUGAUGCAGCAACGCCGCGUGCGGGAUGACGGCCUUCGGGUUGUAAACCGCUUUCGCCUGUGACGAAGCGUGAGUGACGGUAAUGGGUAAAGAAGCACCGGCUAACUACGUG